UCCUCCCUCUUUCUUCGUGCUUAACACAUGCAAGUCGAACGGAAAGGCCCUGCUUUUGUGGGGUGCUCGAGUGGCGAACGGGUGAGUAACACGUGAGUAACCUGCCCCUGACUUUGGGAUAACUUCAGGAAACUGGGGCUAAUACCGGAUAGGAGCUCCUGCUGCAUGGUGGGGGUUGGAAAGUUUCGGCGGUUGGGGAUGGACUCGCGGCUUAUCAGCUUGUUGGUGGGGUAGUGGCUUACCAAGGCUUUGACGGGUAGCCGGCCUGAGAGGGUGACCGGCCACAUUGGGACUGAGAUACGGCCCAGACUCCUACGGGAGGCAGCAGUGGGGAAUAUUGCACAAUGGGCGGAAGCCUGAUGCAGCAACGCCGCGUGCGGGAUGACGGCCUUCGGGUUGUAAACCGCUUUCGCCUGUGACGAAGCGUGAGUGACGGUAAUGGGUAAAGAAGCACCGGCUAACUACGUG
rnacentral:rRNA from 1 species